CGCUCCAGUGCACUUGGGUUUCUCCACAUCUCUGUAUCUCAAGGAUCACUCAUGGGACAUGAAGCCUUCCUUAGAAGAAAACCUUUGAUGCCAGCCUAGUCCUUCUGAGUCAGCUCCCCAGCAUGCAAGUCCAUAAGCACAGCCAAACAGAGGAAAAUAACAGUGAUGUACUGCAGCGUAGAAGACAUAUAAAUCUGUUGUCACCACUGGUUGGCUGGCCCAGCACCCUCACCUGCACUGUACUGCAACUCCAGUUAGCACAGAACACCUCAGUGUCACCG